rnacentral:rRNA from 1 species
AGUAACCUGCCCUUGACUCUGGGAUAAGCCCGGCAAACUGGGUCUAAUACUGGAUGCUACAUGUCACCGCAUGGUGGUGUGUGGAAAGGGUUUACUGGUCUUGGAUGGGCUCACGGCCUAUCAGCUUGUUGGUGAGGUAAUGGCUCACCAAGGCGACGACGGGUAGCCGGCCUGAGAGGGUGACCGGCCACACUGGGACUGAGACACGGCCCAGACUCCUACGGGAGGCAGCAGUGGGGAAUAUUGCACAAUGGGCGAAAGCCUGAUGCAGCGACGCCGCGUGAGGGAUGACGGCCUUCGGGUUGUAAACCUCUUUCAGCAGGGAAGAAGCCACAAGUGACGGUACCUGCAGAAGAAGCGCCGGCUAACUACGUGCCAGCAGCCGCGGUAAUACGUAGGGCGCAAGCGUUGUCCGGAAUUAUUGGGCGUAAAGAGCUCGUAGGCGGUUUGUCGCGUCUGCUGUGAAAGCCCGGGGCUUAACCCCGGGUGUGCAGUGGGUACGGGCAGACUAGAGUGCAGUAGGGGAGACUGGAAUUCCUGGUGUAGCGGUGGAAUGCGCAUAUAUCAGGAGGAACACCGAUGGCGAAGGCAGGUCUCUGGGCUGUUACUGACGCUGAGGAGCGAAAGCAUGGGGAGCGAACAGGAUUAGAUACCCUGGUAGUCCAUGCCGUAACGUUUGGGCACUAGGUGUGGGGGACAUUCCCACGUUUUCCGCGCCGUACCUAACGCAUUAAGUGCCCCGCCUGGGGGAGUACGG